GUGCAGCCCGAGAGGAGGAGGAGAAGGCGGGGGUGGAGGAAGAGCAGCCCGGCUCGCUGCGUGCAGAGAGGAGCCGCGCACGCAGCAAGCCCCUUUUCCUUACUCCGGAGAGGGCAAACCCCGCGGCGGGGGGGCGGCUUAGCCACGGGCUCCUCCCUGUUGCUCUCCUAAAGCAUUUCAAGCUCGACACACAGAAGUUGUUUCUCUGGGAGCAGCCAUGGUUCGUUUGACCGGUGGUUUUGACAGCAGAGAUGAAUUGAGGAUGCGGCACCCGCAGUUCUGACCUGGAAUUUGAACUCUUCUUCCUCCCUCCUCUCGGAGGGAGAGGGGGUGGAAGGUCUCAGGAUCGUCUGAUUGCCAUUGAUCCGAGCUGAUUUCCUGAGCAUUGGGUUCGUAUCGUGUCUACGUGCUCCUUGAUAGAUGAUUCCAGUCUGAAAAAAACACCGUGUCUCGAGAGGUGGUAAUUGGGUGCUCUGAUCUAACCUUUCUUCAGCGUUUAGCCAUCACCUCUACCACUAGCACCUCAUUUAAAAAAAAAAAUAAUAAUCAGGAAGCAUAAGAAAAGCCAUGAGAUGAAAGAAAAAUAUGAACAUUGCUGAUUUUUAAGCCCUAACUUUUUCCUUUCUGUUUUUUUUUUUUUUUGAGCAGAGAGGGAAUUGAAUCAUAUUUUCAUCAUUUUUUUUCCACAUCCAUGAGGGCUAGACACUUAUUUCUUUAAUACAGGGGGGAAAAAAAAAAAUUGAGAUUUCCAGGUGGUAACAUGACUGAAAGAAAACCUGAAUCCAUGUCCCAGUGGACACAUGCACCGGGCCCUCUUGCCUGUGCUGGGGUGAUCCUGUGCGUCCGGGGGAACGUUCUUUUGGUGCAGGCUCAUAAGCAAAACCCUGAAAGAGUAGCGAUGGAUCCAGCAGCCCUGGGGAGAGCCCACACUGCUGGAACCACCUGCUUCAUGUAACAUUUUCCUAGAGUUAAAUGUUUUUCUAAUGGUUUUCUAGAGCUAAAAAAUGAUCAGAUGGCUUCCCCCCCACCCCCCCAAAGGCUUCUUUGCUGUCUGGCAUGCAAAAGCUCCAGCAGAAAUUCCAUGAUCUGGAGCGAUUUGGUCCAAUGCCAUGAGAACGGUCUGCUCUGCACACUUUAGUAAGUGUAAAAGGGAGGAGAUCAAAAAAAAAAAAAAAGACGAGAAGAUAAAGAGCCCUGCGUGCUGCAGCCCCUGGGUGCUGCCUGGUCUCUCGGUCAUGUCAAAGCUUGCUGCCUCCUGCGCCAACAUGAGGAUGCAACAGAUGUCCUUAACCUUUACAGGUGCAGGGUCUGCAUUUCUUCAGUCUUUUUUCCUUGGAUGACUCAGAGCAUGGAUUAUUAGCAGCUUAGAUUUCUUUGGCCAAAGUGCAUCAUUGCAUAUACAUCCGGGUUAAAUCUAAGCAAUAUUUCUGAUCCACGUAGGCUUCUGACUUGGUUCUGCAUCUUUGGCGUUUACAAAAUGACCAGCGUUUGAACUCUCCCUGUUCUGUUUCUUAAAUGUCAGCAGAAACUUUUUUUUUAAUAAAACAAUGCAGCCUCCCCCUGCAAUGUUUGUAACCAAGAAACUGCGGCAUCGCAAGAGCAUGAGAAAAUAUUGCUCAUUAAAACCAGGGUAAGAAAUGACAGCGAAAGUGAUUUUUUUUUUUUUUUUUUUUCCCCCUCAUUGCAGAAUUCACAGUAAGUGGCUGCUAAAAUGGGACCAGCCGGUUCAGCCCCGCUUGUGCUGAAUACUGGGUUUAAUGUACUGAAACUGCUUCCAUUGGCAUGUGGGGCUGGUCAUAUGCUUAAACAUAUGCAUUUACUUAACAUCCACAGACUUAGGACCUUAUGUGUUAGACAAUCUCCUAGUCUAAAAUCCAAUUGCUGUGGUUUUUUGAUAUGAAAACUUUAACUUUGGUGUGAUAAUUUAAUUUCUCGUGUUGUAAAACAUCUCACCGCGUAGCUUUUCCCCCACCUCCCUCUGUUUUGACAAAGCAAAGUAAGUUUGUGCUACUGUCAGCUUUCCUUGCCUUGUUUUUCUCUUCUUCCUGCAUCUCAUUAAUACACAAGCGGUAUUAAAUAAUAAUGAUGCCAGUAGUGGCCUCUGCUGUGCCUCGAUGUUCGCUCCUUUUUACUUGGAGGAGCAGAUGUUCCCUGUCCUUGUUUUCUGUUGCCAAACGGGGACUUUGCCCCUUUAACCUUUGAUAAGGUGCUUUAAUCAUCUCUGAUGUGAGAUUUUAUCAAAAGCCUUGGCAGAAGCCAAAUAAAUGAUACCCGCCCAGCG